AUCUGUCAAAAGGGCUCUGUGCUUUUUUUUUUUUAACAACCCUUCAAAUGUUGAAAUUUAACCAUGAGCCUCAGUUGUGAUUUGAUUUGGCUUUGGUUACCUUUAAAGCUAUAAAUUGACUUAAAUCUUUUGGCUAAAGUGGAGCAAUCCACAUAAUUGGCUGCUGAUAUGGAAAUUAGAAGGCAAAUUAGCCAGGUACGGCCAAACAAACUGGAUUAGAGAAUAAAAUGAUUGAAAGAUUGGCUUGAGGCAGUGCAAUGCAGCCAAAGUAUCAUUCAUAUGGAACAGAUUGAAUCUGCAACCUGGAACCCCAAGUUGGUGCCUUGGCUGCCAGAAGAAUCUCACAAGAGUGCAAUGUUUGUCAAGGCUGAAAUCUGUCAAAAUGCCCCUCUUUGGAAGGACUUCUCCUCCCUUCUAUUGGGACUAGCCUACAGCCGAGGAAGGAGGCCUGAGCUUAAUGGCCACUGCAAUGACAAGACAGUGUCCAGAAAAAGGGAAGAAAGUGGCAGGAGGAGGAAGCAGAAAAGCACUGAAGAGACUCUUUGCCUGUUCUUCUCAUUCCCUGUAUAAGAUGAUGAGCUUCGGAGGCUACUGUGACCGUCUGCGAGCUAUUUCCAGCAGGGCUUUAUUUCAGUGUAGUAGCCAAGGGUAAUCUGAAUAAAAGGAAUAAGUGACUACAGUGAGAACAUGUUUUAGAUCUUCGGUCACGUCCAGGAACAUCUAAGAACACUGACCAGGAUCCAGAUUUUUUUUUUUCAUAUCCUUGAUGGU